rnacentral:rRNA from 1 species
UACAGAGGUCCCAAGCGUUGUUCGGAUUCACUGGGCGUAAAGGGUGCGUAGGUGGCAGGGUAAGUUUGAUGUGAAAUCUCCGGGCUUAACCCGGAAACUGCAUUGAAUACUAUCUUGCUUGAGGGUUGGAGGGGGGACUGGAAUUCUCGGUGUAGCAGUGAAAUGCGUAGAUAUCGAGAGGAACACCAGUGGCGAAGGCGAGUCCCUGGACAACUCCUGACACUGAGGCACGAAAGCUAGGGGAGCAAACAGG